ACUGAUUAUUUUGUGACUGAGUGGCGGACGGGUGAGUAACACGUGAGCAACCUGCCUUUCAGUGUGGAAUAACGUUUGGAAACGAACGCUAAUACCGCAUGAUGCAGCGAGAGGGCAUCCUUUUGCUGCCAAAGAUUUAUCGCUGAAAGAUGGGCUCGCGUCCGAUUAGCUAGUUGGUGAGGUAACGGCUCACCAAGGCCGCGAUCGGUAGCCGGACUGAGAGGUUGAACGGCCACAUUGGGACUGAGACACGGCCCAGACUCC
rnacentral:rRNA from 1 species